GCGGGUGUAGCUCAAUGGUAGAGCAUCAGCUUCCCAAGCUGAGGGUUGCGGGUUCGAUCCCCGUCACCCGCU
rfam:Desulfotomaculum nigrificans CO-1-SRB chromosome, complete genome.